rnacentral:rRNA from 1 species
UACGAAGGGGGCUAGCGUUGUUCGGAAUUACUGGGCGUAAAGCGCACGUAGGCGGACUAUUAAGUCAGGGGUGAAAUCCCGGGGCUCAACCCCGGAACUGCCUUUGAUACUGGUAGUCUCGAGUCCGGAAGAGGUGAGUGGAAUUCCGAGUGUAGAGGUGAAAUUCGUAGAUAUUCGGAGGAACACCAGUAGCGAAGGCGGCUCACUGGUCCGGUACUGACGCUGAGGUGCGAAAGCGUGGGGAGCAAACAGG